rnacentral:rRNA from 1 species
GACGAACGCUGGCGGCGUGCCUAACACAUGCAAGUCGAACGGAACUGUUUUGAAAGAUUUCUUCGGAAUGAAUUUGAUUUAGUUUAGUGGCGGACGGGUGAGUAACGCGUGAGUAACCUGCCUUCAAGAGGGGGAUAACAUUCUGAAAAGAAUGCUAAUACCGCAUGACAUAUCGGAAUCACAUGGUUUUGAUAUCAAAGAUUUUAUCGCUUGAAGAUGGACUCGCGUCCGAUUAGUUAGUUGGUGAGGUAACGGCUCACCAAGACCGCGAUCGGUAGCCGGACUGAGAGGUUGAACGGCCACAUUGGGACUGAGACACGGCCCAGACUCCUACGGGAGGCAGCAGUGGGGGAUAUUGCGCAAUGGGGGCAACCCUGACGCAGCAACGCCGCGUGAAGGAUGAAGGUUUUCGGAUUGUAAACUUCUUUUAU